CAGGAGCCCAGGUUGCAGAGGCUGCGGCUGCCGAAGCCCGUCAGCCCCCGGUAGCAGGACACCCCUCGGAAAACAAAAUGGUCACAAGACUCUAAGCUCCCUCCCCUCGCCAUAUCGCACAAGCCAGUCCUGCUGGCAGCCUGCUUUGAACAUCUCCUGUGCCUUCUUGUCCGAAGUUGGUGGCCAGAAGAGGGCAGCAAAUUCCCACAACUGGCCUGGUGGCAGUUCACUGUGGCAGAAGCAGAAAAGGCCAGGGAUCUGCCUGCGGCUGGCUCUGGUUUCCAGAGCUUUGGAAGCUGGAGACAGUCCCUGAUGCUCCUGCAUCCACCUGUGGUUGGUUCUGGAGUGGCUGAACUGCUGACAAAGCUACUGUUCAUUGAUAAACAGACACCAAGCCCACCACCAAACUGAAGCAAUCGUGCCCCCGCCCCCCCCGCGUGCCAGGUUCAGUGCUAAGCACCUUGGAUUGCCAUUGCCUGUCAUCCCCACAACUCUUUGAGAGACAGGGUCUCCUCAUAUUACCCAGGCUGGUUUCGAUCUUCGUGCUCAAGUGAUCCUCCUGCCUCAGCCUCCUGCAGUGUUGGGCUACCGGCAUGAGCCACGUGGCCUGACCUCUAUUGAUUUUUGAGUAUAUCUCUUUGUAUUACUUUUUAGUGGCUACUCUAGAGAUACAACAUAUGUAAUCUACUCUUUCACAGUCUACUUAGAGGUAAUAUUUUUAUCACUUACAUUGACCUUCCUCCUUUUAUGGGAUAGUCAUCGUAGAUAGUUCAUCUACAUAAAUUAGAACCCCACCAACAGUUCCCAUUUUUAUUUUCAAUAGUCAUGUGUCUUUUAAAGAAUAUAA